rnacentral:rRNA from 1 species
UGAGGAAUAUUGGUCAAUGGGCGCAAGCCUGAACCAGCCAUGCCGCGUGCAGGAAGACGGUCCUAUGGAUUGUAAACUGCUUUUAUUCGGGAAUAAACCUCUUUACGUGUAGAGAGCUGAAGGUACCGAAUGAAUAAGCACCGGCUAACUCCGUGCCAG